UACGGUGAGCCUGUCAUUGUUC
rnacentral:miRNA from 8 species